rnacentral:rRNA from 1 species
UACAGAGGGUGCGAGCGUUGUUCGGAAUUACUGGGCGUAAAGCGCGCGCAGGCGGCUUCUUAAGUCCAUCGGUGAAGUGCCGGGGCUCAACCCCGAAGCAGGCCGAGGAUACUGGGAGGCUGGAGACGAGUAGAGGCAAGCGGAAUUCCGGGUGUAGCGGAUGGAAUGCGUAGAGAUCCGGAAGGAAGCACCGGAGGCGA